UACGGAAGGGGCAAGCGUUGUUCGGAAUCAUUGGGCGUAAAGGGCGCGUAGGUGGUUCUGUAUGUCUACCGUGAAAGCAUACAGCUCAACUGUAUUUUGUCGGUAGAAACUGCAGGACUUGAGGCUGGGAGGGGCUGGUGGAAUUCCCUGUGUAGCGGUGAAAUGCGUAGAGAUGGGGAGAACACUCGUGGCGAAGGCGGCCAGCUAGACCAGUUCUGACACUGAGGCGCGACAGCGUGGGGAGCAAACAGG
rnacentral:rRNA from 1 species